rnacentral:rRNA from 1 species
GAUGAACGCUGGCGGCGUGCCUAAUACAUGCAAGUCGAGCGAAUGGAUUAAGAGCUUGCUCUUGUGAAGUUAGCGGCGGACGGGUGAGUAACACGUGGGUAACCUGCCCAUAAGACUGGGAUAACUCCGGGAAACCGGGGCUAAUACCGGAUAACAUUUUGAACCGCAUGGUUCGAAAUUGAAAGGCGGCUUCGGCUGUCACUUAUGGAUGGACCCGCGUCGCAUUAGCUAGUUGGUGAGGUAACGGCUCACCAAGGCAACGAUGCGUAGCCGACCUGGGCGGGUGAACGGGCACACUGGGACUGCGCCACCGCCCAGACUCCUACGGGAGGCAGCAGUAGGGAAUCUUCCGCAAUGGACGAAAGUCUGACGUAGCAACGCCGCGUGAGUGAUGAAGGCUUUCGGGUCGUAAAACUCUGCUGUUAGGGAAGAACAAGUGCUAGUUGAAUAAGCUGGCACCUCGACGGUACCUAACCAGAAAGCCACGGCUAACUACGUGCCAGCCGCCGCGGUAA